rnacentral:rRNA from 1 species
AUUGAACGCUGGCGGAAUGCUUUACACAUGCAAGUCGAACGGCAGCACGGGAGCUUGCUCCUGGUGGCGAGUGGCGAACGGGUGAGUAAUGCAUCGGAACGUGCCCAUUUAUGGGGGAUAACUAGUCGAAAGACUAGCUAAUACCGCAUAAGCUCGAGAGAGGAAAGCGGGGGAUCGUAAGACCUCGCGCAGAUGGAGCGGCCGAUGUCCGAUUAGCUAGUUGGUGAGGUAACGGCUCACCAAGGCGACGAUCGGUAGCUGGUCUGAGAGGACGACCAGCCAAACUGGCACUGAGACACGGCCCAGACUCCUACGGGAGGCAGCAGUGGGGAAUUUUGGACAAUGGGGGCAACCCUGAUCCAGCCAUUCCGCGUGUGGGAAGGAGGCCUUCGGGUUGUAAACCACUUUCGGACGGGAAGAAAUCGACGUGACGAAUAAUCGUGUCGGAUGACGGUACCGUAAGAAGAAGCACCGGCUAACUACGUGCCAGCAGCCGCCGUAA